rnacentral:rRNA from 1 species
AACGAACGCUGGCGGCAUGCCUAACACAUGCAAGUCGAACGAGACCUUCGGGUCUAGUGGCGCACGGGUGCGUAACGCGUGGGAAUCUGCCCCUUGGUUCGGAAUAACAGCGAGAAAUUGCUGCUAAUACCGGAUAAUGACGUAAGUCCAAAGAUUUAUCGCCAAGGGAUGAGCCCGCGUAGGAUUAGCUAGUUGGUGUGGUAAAAGGCGCACCAAGGGCGACGAUCCUUAGCUGGUCUGAGAGGAUGAUCAGCCACACUGGGACUGAGACACGGCCCAGACUCCUUCGGGAGGCAGCAGUGGGGAAUAUUGGACAAUGGGCGAAAGCCUGAUCCAGCAAUGCCGCGUGAGUGAUGAAGGCCUUAGGGUUGUAAAGCUCUUUUACCCGGGAUGAUAAUGACAGUACCGGGAGAAUAAGCUCCGGCUAACUCCGUGCCAGCAGCCGCGGUAAAGUGACUACUG